rnacentral:rRNA from 1 species
GGUGAACGCUGGCGGCGUGCUUAACACAUGCAAGUCGAACGGUAGCGCACUGCUUGCUGGGUGGUAUGGUGGGGAACGGGUGGGUAACACGUGAGUACACUGCCCUCUACUUUGGGGUAGGCCUUGGCGACUCGGUCUAUUACCGGAUACCACAGCCUACCGACUGGUGGGUGCUGGAAAAAUUUAUCGGGUUUGGAUGGAAUCGCGGCUUUUCAGCAUUUUGGUGGGGUAGUGGAACACGCAGGCCACGACGGGUAGCCGUCAUGAGAGGGUGAACGGCGACACGGGGACUGAGAGACGGCCCAGACUCGUAUGGGGGGCAGCAGUGGGGAAUAUUACACAAUGGGCGCAAGCCUGAUGCAGCGACGCUGGGGGAGGGAUGACGGCUUGCGGGUUAUAAACAGCUUUCGGUAGGGAAGAAGCGAUAGUGACGGUACCUGAAGAAGAAGCACCGGCUAACUACGUG